UGAUAUCUCAGCAGCGAUAGUGACUGCAGCUUGCCUGGCGGCUGAGGUCAGAGGGCAGAGAACUCUCAUCUGACAGACAGCGCGGUGAACAGCUGAAUACCCCUGGCAAGGAGACUGCCUGGCUGUGGGAGACUGCCCGGCUCCUUCCAACCAGUUGGGCAGGGGUCUUACAUCAGUCUGGGGGGAGCUGCAGGUGUGUUUUGUGCAAAGAGGUGAACCCCUCUAACCCCUCUUCAUUGGCUCUGAUAACCUCUAAGCUGCAGAUGUCGGAAUGAGCUAUGAAAGCUGACGACCCCCUCCCCAGCUGGCCUGCCCAGGAGCUGUCAGCUCUACAAGAACCAGAGUUCCUGGCCCCUAGUCCUUCCCCACAUUGUGCAGUGUGGGGUUACUGGAGACCUCCCCAGAAGCAGGCUGGGGAGGAGAGUUGGAGGCUUCAGGGACUGCCUGCUGGGGCUGCUGUAUUCUUUACCCCACUGGGCUGCGCCGAUGUCCUGGGGUGAGAAGCAGGAAGGAAUGGGACCAUCAAUAUCCCCAUUUUGUAGUUGAGAAAACUGAAGAGCAGAGGCCUCUGUGAUGAAAUGGGAACUUUCUUUACUGCAGGAACCUCGCCAUGCAAAUAAAUGGCAAAUGUGCAUUGAGAGUCUCUGAGAGGCAAAGAGAACGAUCAGCAUUUCCCGAACUUAUUUCACCACAGGAUCUUUUUUCACAUGGAACGUCUUAUAGGACUGGCUUCUGGGGAACACAGAGUGCAACACUGAUCUUGCUAGUGGAUUACUGUAAUCUCUCACCUGGAUCACCGUCUCAGGCCCAUCGCCCUUCUACAGCGUGAAUGCUGAAGGCAGCAUUCCGAACGUUCCUUUU